GACGAACGCUGGCGGCGUGCUUAACACAUGCAAGUCGAACGGAAAGGCCCUGCUUUUGUGGGGUGCUCGAGUGGCGAACGGGUGAGUAACACGUGAGUAACCUGCCCUUGACUUUGGGAUAACUUCAGGAAACUGGGGCUAAUACCGGAUAGGAGCUCCUGCUGCAUGGUGGGGGUUGGAAAGUUUCGGCGGUUGGGGAUGGACUCGAGGCUUAUCAGCUUGUUGGUGGGGUAGUGGCUUACCAAGGCUUUGACGGGUAGCCGGCCUGAGAGGGUGACCGGCCACAUUGGGACUGAGAUACGGCCCAGACUGCUACGGGAGGCAGCAGUGGGGAAUAUUGCACAAUGGGCGGAAGCCUGAUGCAGCAACGCCGCGUGCGGGAUGACGGCCUUCGGGUUGUAAACCGCUUUCGCCUGUGACGAAGCGUGAGUGACGGUAAUGGGUAAAGAAGCACCGGCUAACUACGUG
rnacentral:rRNA from 1 species